CGUCUUCGGGCGCAUUGCUUGGGUGUUCCAUUUUGGGCGCCCAACCAUAAAACUCUUAUAUUUUAUUCUGACAACCAAGAAAAUUCAAAACUUUCAACAACGGAUCUCUUGGUUCUCGCAUCGAUGAAGAACGCAGC
rnacentral:misc_RNA from 1 species